UAUGAGUGGUGUCAUUUAUGAGCACUAGGUAGACCAUCGGAUUUGAGGACAAACGGUUUAAAUUGACGAAAUUAUUACCGUUGUAUAAAUCAGAUUGCUCGCGGUGGUUGACAAUGGGUAGAUAGUCGUGCAACAAAAAGUGAUAAUCAACCGUGCUAAAAAGAAAACAGAAGAACACUAGAAAUUUUUGAAAUUUUACCAACAUAUUUGGCGAGGCACCUGAAAUUUUUAUUCAACGAGAAAACUAGGUUUCACCAGCUUUGGGCCUGGCUAUUUUACCCGUGGUUAUUUUUGCUGAAGAUCGUAGUGGCUACAGCUCUUGCAGAGAGAACCCUGCCGCGUGUCGCACGAAACUUGUGGAUCUACCCUACGUGAUCUGGUCUGGUUUGGUCUGGUCACGCCGGUCGUGGUCAUCGUAUCAGUCUUGAUCGUGUAGCAUUACUGUAGUUGCCUGAGGACGGAGGCCACAUACGCGCAAGUGUACAGCCUAUGCAAAAGAUGGUAGAGGAACAAACGAGGAAAACACUUGCGAAGGCGAAGAAUUUUGUAAGCAUUGAUGAAAAGAAAGGUUGUUGGUUUACCAGCGGCGAAGAAAAACCAUCCACAUUAACGAUCAGGUUUAUAACCUGUCCAAGAGCUUGAAGGGGUAGAAAAUAAGCUGCCUUAAUUGUUAUGCCGAAAUAUACAGUUGUGAUGUUCACGUGCGGCCCACAGCGAAGGACUGUGAAUCCAGUUAUGAUGAAAUGAGAAUUCUAGGAUCAAGCAAGUUUGUAGGUGUUGAGUUUGUAUUAUUGAUUACUGUACAAGAGAAA